GCGCGUUGCUGCCGUGAGGCGCUGCCGGUGUCGCGGCUGAGCCCGGUGCGCAGGCGCGGGGAGGGUGCGGCGCGCGGCGGCGUAUCGUUAAACGGCCGCCCGGCUCAGUUGUUAGCCCUGCUAGGGCCCGGGUCCCCCGCAGGCCCCGGUGCCCCCGGGAGGGGGCUAUCCAGCCGGGCCUCGGGCUUAUGAGACUUUCUGUGGUUAUUUUUCCCCCCCUGUGCUGACUCCUGCCAGUUAAAUGCUAAGAGAAGGGCUGCAAGAAGCGCUGUCUGAGUCUGAUGUCAGAGCUCUAUCCAGGCCGUGGGAGAGAAGAGGGGGAGCCUUGAUCCCCAGGUACUGUGGAGGUGAUUGGAAGGGGUUCAGUCCUGCUGUGGAGAUUUCAGCAGUGAGGAUGACCCACAGUGGUGGCAGAGGCUGUGUAUGAUAACCACUGUGACAGUGCUCUGAGCAGUCUCGAAAUCUGCAGUAGCAAGAUCCAGUGUCCCUCAUCUUUAGUAUAAACUGGCUCUGCACAGGGUUGCUGUUCUCAGUGAAAAGAGGAUCACCUGCUUCAGUUUAUGUUGAAGGUUGGUGUCUGGCCAUGGGCAGCUACACUGGAGAACCACUGUGGAGUAGCUCGGGGGCUUGGGGUGCUCAGCCGGCCGGAUUGCGGGAAGAACGGCAUCCCCCAGGAGCUGCAUGCCUGUCUGAGGGUGACCCUUGGGGACUGCGCUGUACUUGUGUGUGGGAAGAGCUCCUCCACCAGGUAGUGUGAGUAACGGUGACAAAGCAGUGCUCUGUCCUGCGGUGGGGACACAGGAUUGACAUGUCAGCUGCAGAAGCAGUCCUUUGGUGUGGAGACUGGACCUUUUAAACCCGAAGUAACUGGACUCAGACCCCGCUUGUUUCAUGGUAAUAUUCCGAGCCAACUAGACCCAGAAAGUGUAAAACGGGGUUCUCUGCAGUUUCAUUCUUCGGAACUUAAACCUGAAGCAACUGGUUGAAAACUUCACCAUUAAAAAGUUUCACUUCCCAAAUAGUGCUGUUCUAUAAAUACCCUGUGCAGUGGGAUAUGACAUUUACUCCCACACAUGAGACACAGCAUGCUUUGUAACUUGCAUAUGCUGAGCCUUAACCCUUGAGCAGUCUUUGAGUAAAACACAAGGCAAGGAACCCACUUUGGUGGGAUAGACUCAUGUUGCAACCAGUGAGCUGGUGCGGGUUGCUGUAGAGUAAAUGGCAAUAGAAUUGCAGCCAAAAUUAUUAUACUUUGUAUGGUAAAACUCACUUCUUCGAGCUCUUUGGAGAUCAUGUAGCUGAAGAUGUUGCCUUAGGAAUAACAGUGCCUUAUAUGCACUGUUAUCGACAGAUCUCGGAGCGCUUCCCUGCCCAAACCAGAAGCAGUAUUUAAGGUAGUUUGCUUUCAUUUCUGAUUCUGCUACAGUUUUAUGAUCCUUGACAAAUUUCUUAGCUCCUUGGUUUCAGCCCCAUAUAAAACACAUGAUACUGCGUUUCUCUCAAUUUUUACAUGUUGUGUGUGUGUGUAUACAUAUAUAUACGCACCCAUACUAGAAAUUCAAACAGUAGGCUCUGUCUUUGUAGGGUGAGUGCUCGUGUACUGAUGUUUUGUAAAUAUUCUGUAUAAAUAUAUAAAUAUCCUCUCUAUGUACAUAUAUAUCUCAAUGUGAGUAAGUUUGCAAUAUCCCUUUUUUAUUAAGAAACAAAUGAAGACACCUUGAUUGGUAGAUUUAAAAAUUAAUGGGUCAUCUUAUCUCAUCCUCUUGUGUGAGGUAACUUCAAGCAAGCUGUGUAUCACAGCCAGACUUGAAUGAGUUAGCAAAGCAGUCUAGCGCUGCAGCCAUACCUCUGUGGGAAAUGGAGCCCAAGAUUUUAAAAGCCCAGACUUGUAUAAUGUUGGCAUGUGACUGUUUUUCUGGUGCUAAAAGACUAUGCAGAAGAGGUCAACAGAAAUUAAUCCUAACAUUGGAAAUAGGCUGGGUUUGUUACCUCGCUGGGGUGGGAGGUACAGAAACAGAAAAUUUAGGCCUUUGUAGAAUGGGUCUGAUUCUGAUCUCGGUUACACAAUGUUGAUCUAAUUCUUUCAUCUGAAUGGCAUAAUCGUGGCUUGUGCCAGUGAAAAAUAAGAAACAGCCUCAAUGGCUUUCAAAAGUUUUUCAUCAGCUCUUUUGAAUACCAAGCAGUUCCAAUUAAUCGGAGUUUGGCCCCUGCAGGGAAUACAGUUCUGUAAAGCUUCCUCUUAUCUUUGCCAAAAUAUGAUCAAAUUGCUUGUCUUUCUGAACAAGUUCUGCUUUUGGCUCUGGUCUAUCAUCAGGAAACACAUGUCAGCAUUUUAACAGCUGUGUGUCCUGUUCAGAAUGAGCUCUUUAUCUGAGUUGGGUGCAUAGGGAGCAGGGCUAGGGCUAGCUGUCGUUUGCUCAUUUAUGGUUAGGAGUAUUGAGUAAACACCGAUUUUGCCUCUGCUGUGGAGGUCAUCCAAGGAUUUCAGCACUUUUCCAACCAACUUGCAUGAAGCUGAAUCUUCAUUAGAUUCUUCUGUGGAGGCACCAGCGUAGCGUAUAAAAAGAGGAAAUGAGCACUGGAAAGAUAAAGCCAAUAUUAUUAAAAGCAGCCUCUGAGUUUGGGUCUUGGCUGCUCAGUUCAAGGAAAUUUGAGCAUUCUUUUUCUUGUAGAUUACAGGAAUUCUCUUGUAGUGAUGGCGCCUUUUUGGGAGGGGGCUGAAAAGGUUUCCAAACUCAGCUCCAUAAAAAUCACUUUUCUGAGAGUCACAGGUUGUAUUAAAAAGAGGUGCCACUCACUGAAGCCUUACAGCAUCUCAGCUAUUUAAGGAUAUAUUAGAGAAUAAGCACAAAAUCUUUAUCAAAAUAUUACAAUAUUCAUGUGGCCUGGGUUUUUUUUUAAGCCACAGCUCUUGAGAAUUAAGCAGUAAAUGAAAAAAUCAAGUGUUGUUUUAUCAAAAGAAAUCUUUAUAUAUAGUUUGUAGAGAUCAAGCUCAUAAAUUCUAAGAAGUUGAGAGGUUGACAGUACUACUUUGAUUGAAUACUUUUGCUUUAACCAGUAACUCCUUAACCCAAAAUGUGCAACAACUUCCUCUGAGGGAGCUGGCUGUGAUUCAGCUCAUUGUAGCCAUUUGUCAAAAAUACAUCCCAGCUACAACUUCUAUUCAUUAGCACUUAGAUCUACACAUCCAGUACUUUUUUGGGGGGAAAAACUGUGCUGGAUUUUCAGACAAGCUUCUAGAGGGACUUUGUCUUCACUGAUGUGAAAAGAUCAGUAACCAAGAAGUUAAUUUCAGCAGGAGGAGCCAAAGCUGAUAUUCGCUCUGCAGGUUUUGCUUCAUAUAUAGUAGAGGACUUUGUUCUUAGAUAGCCGGUCUUGUCACAUCCCACUGUAAUUUCACUGUGUGACACAAUGCAGAUAAAAUGUCAGUAAUUAUUAUGGGAUCCCUGGCAGUUAGUGGUAUAUGCUCCCAAGCUAAGAAGUGGCAGGCAGAGUCCAAAAGCCACGUUGUCUUGCGGGGUUUCCGAGCUGUGGUGUGCAGGUCAUUCAGAAAUACCAAGUGACUUGUUGCAAGCAUGACACCUGGCAAAAAAUAGUUUGUCUGUACGUUUCAGCCAAGCAACCUGGUGGCUUACCUUUCACUGCAGCAUUGCAGCAGUGCUCCUCACAUUUGAAAGCGUUGGUUUUACUCCAGUACAUCUGCUGGCUUGCUCCUUCCACAGCAGGACGCACGUAGACACAGGGCAGUCUGGGUACUAGUGCGUUUAUUUAGAAGAAUUAAUCUAGUUAGCAAUUUUUAAAGUCCAUAGGAUGUGGGCAAAACCUGAUUGGCUUAGGUUUCAAAGUUUCCUCCUCCCCAAGUUGCAGCAGUUUAUAAAUGACUAUUCCGUGUCCAUUUCUCCCUUUCCUCAGCACAUAGGGAGAGUAGGAAGGUGCAUGACAGCGCGUCUGUACUCCUGCAUCUCAGACAAGAUAUUGUCAGCAUACUGGGACUGAUCUCUGCUGGGCAAUGAAGCCAAAUGAGGCUGGAUAAAUUCUGCCCUUUACCAGGGGUCGGGGUGUGUAAGGCUGGCGUGUGCCAUGGAGUAAAGCUUCAGCUGAGGACUGACAGAGGUGGGUGGCACAGUCAGAUGAAUCAGGUGUCAGACCCAAGCUGUCUCUAGCAGGCAGGGCUGGUGUGUGCUGCAAUGUGUGGCAUUUUCAGGUGCCGUGACUAGAGGACUCUGUCCCUCUUACUGUACACAGCAGUUUCUUUUCCUGACAGGCUGAACACAGGCAUCAUCCCCAGGGCUUGCCUUGGUGAAGCAGAAGAGCUUUCUCUCGGUCCAGGGGCUUGGAAGCACUUCUGCUCCUGGCACUGCAGAUGUAGGCUUUGGAACAAACUAAAGUGGACAAAUAGUGUGGCCUGAACCAAAACUUCUGCUUCAGGCAUUUCAGCUCUGCAAUCGCUGUUGAAUGCCAUAAUAUGGGAUCUUGUUAUGAAACAUCCUGAGGUCCAUGUCUGCAAGGCAUUCAGGAUUCCCUCUUCCUCUGCACAGUUUCCUACCAUGUUGGGAAGAGCUGCUGCACCUUCCUGUGAAGCUGAAAUGUUCAAAGCCAUCACACCAACUAAUGGUGGGUAGCGUGGAUACGCUGCCCGCAGCAGGAGCAGAUCCAGCAAUGUGGUACAGGAGCAGAGAGGAAAUCCUGAGAGUGUCGGGACAGGGAGCCCUUGAGGAGGCUCAGCUGUCGGUGGCUGCUGUUGUGCAGCCUCCCUUCUGGAAUGUCCCCUUUCAUCCCAGCCCCUGUCCUCCACUUGAACCUUCAGAAAUCCCGAGCAGUCUAUAAGGUCUCUCCUCUUACAGGCAUUCAGAUGGUCUGAAUUAAAACCCAGCAGCUGCUGCUGCCGCCUGCUGUGAUGUGCUUCCACUCUGUUUCUGCCAAGUGGCCAUCCUCCUGCCUUGCGAGAGGGUCAGCAUAGCUUCAUGUUCACACCUCCUCCCAGCCCCACCAGGAGCUGCAGCAGUGAUGAGGAGCUGCCAUACUGUGUAUCCUCUUAGCAGAUUUCUUUACUCGGCUGCUACAUCCUGGUCCCCCACUCAGGUCCUUGUACUGCUCCAGGCUGUCACCCUGCCCAAACCCCUCUCCCACCCACCCUGGGAACUCCACUAGCUCCUGUCAGCGCUGCUCAAGCACAAAUUAACAAAAUGACUGUGUGCCAUUCUAGUGUGAGUUACUAAUUCUCUCAGAUUGGAAAUACAAUAAAAUGUUGGAAAUAUUCA